GGGGGUCUAGCUCAUAUGGUAGAGCGCUCGCUUCGCAUGCGAGAGGCACUGGGAUCGAUACCCAGGUCCUCCA
rnacentral:tRNA from 1 species